CUUCCUCUUGGCGCGGAGGUUUAACUGCGCUCGCUCCCCAUAUCGGUGUGGGCGCACCGGAUUUACAAAUUAAAGUCCUUUAGGGAGCGGAAAGGGAC
rnacentral:ncRNA from 1 species